ensembl:lncRNA
CCUAAAAGAUUCUGUGAAAGUGCUGCACUCAAUAUGCCAGCAUAUUUGGAAAACUCAGCAGUGGCCAUAGGACUGCAAAAGUGCAUGAAAGUGAAAAGUGAAAGUGAAGUCGCUCAGUCGUGUCCGACUCUUCACGACCCCAUGGACUGCAGCCUAUCAGGCUCCUCCGCCCAUGGGAUUUUUCCAGGCAAGAGUACUGGAGUGCGUUGCCAUUGUCUUAUCUGAACUGAUGCUGCAGGACCAUCAACGUAGCCAGAAAUCAAAAGAAAGAUAGACACUUCCAAGGAAAGACAAGAUGUGACCACAGCUUCAUAUGUGGCAGAGCACUUAAGGAAGAAAGUCAACUUUACAUAUCAAUGAUCAUAAGCUUCUCAUCCGGACACAGUUGGUAAGUCUGAAUAUUCUCUUUUGCAUAGUGAAUUUUGUGUUUUUCCUAUCUUCUAUUCAUUAAAAUAACACUGUUUUGAAUCGACUUGAAAUAACAGGCUCAUGUAGGCUUGCCAUGCCUUAUUCUGACCUUCAUCAAUGUGUUUACUCCCAUUGUAUGACAAGGAAACAAUUAAGAAUAUUGUUCGAAAGAUUUUAACCAUGGUGUUAUCUCCUACUGUUGUUGCCUUUUAACAGCCAGGGUUGAUAAAUGCACCAGGUUAGAAUAAGCACAAUUUAUCAUUUUUUUAUCCCAGCUAGAUUCCAAAUUAAUGAACUCUCAGUGAAAUUAGACUGCAAGCCAUUGGCAGUUAGCUUCCUCAAGACUUGCUUCUUUGUUCUCUGUUGAUGUCCUUUCCAGCUCUAAUUUCAGUUUUUCAUUUCAAAGUAGCAAAGAAGACUGAGUAUGUGCUAUGCUUUUAUUUAUUUCUUUUGUAUAAUAGAAGAGGUGUAAUAUUACAAGUUUGGUUGGCAUGUUAUCUGCUUUCUAAUACAGGGCAGGCUAACAUAUGAACCUAUAUUUUAUUGUCACAUAGCAAGAAUCAUCAGUUCUCUAGUGUGCACUAUCUGAAUGCUUCAUAUUUGCCCUGACAUUUUCUCCCUUCAGUCAGUUCCAUGGUUUAUGAUCUGCUAAUUGCAAUAGACACUUCUAGGUACCAAACUUUAUAUUGGUUUUGAUUAAAUUUAUCUCUGUAAAAUGGUAACAAUAUUAAAAUCUACUUUCUUUAAGUAUUUAGUUUCUCUUAUGUAAAAUGAUUCCUUCCGGAUGUAGGUAGAUCAGGG